rnacentral:rRNA from 1 species
GCGGCCGAUCCGCCGCCAUCCGCCCGAGGAUGGGGGCACGGCCCAUCAGGUAGUUGGCGGGUUAAAGGCCCGCCAAGCCGAAGACGGGUAGGGGCGGUGAGAGCCGCGAGCCCCGAGAUCGGCACUGAGACAAGGGCCGAGGCCCUACGGGGUGCAGCAGGCGCGAAUACUCCGCAAUGCGGGCAACCGCGACGGGGCUACCCCGAGUGCCGGGCGAAGAGCCCGGCUUUUGCCCGGUCUAAAAAGCCGGGAGAAUAAGCGGGGGGCAAGUCUGGUGUCAGCCGCCGCGGUAAUACCAGCUCCGCGAGUGGUCGGGGUGUUUACUGGGCUUAAAGCGCCCGUAGCCGGCCCGGCAAGUCGCUCCUGAAAUCCCCGGGCUCAACCCGGGGGCGGGGGGCGAUACUGCCGGGCUAGGGGGCGGGAGAGGCCGCCGGUACUCCGGGGGUAGGGGCGAAAUCCGUUAAUCCCCGGAGGACCACCAGUGGCGAAAGCGGGCGGCCAGAACGCGCCCGACGGUGAGGGGCGAAAGCCGGGGGAGCAAAGGGGAUUAGAUACCCCUGUAGUCCCGGCCGUAAACGAUGCGGGCUAGCUGUCGGCCGGGCUUAGGGCCCGGCCGGUGGCGAAGGGAAACCGUUAAGCCCGCCGCCUGGGGAGUACGGCCGCAAGGCUGAAACUUAAAGGAAUUGGCGGGGGGGCACCACAAGGGGUGAAGCUUGCGGCUUAAUUGGAUUCAACGCCGGG